rnacentral:rRNA from 1 species
CAGUCGUACCUUCGGGUAAUCAGCCUUUUGGGUGUGAUUUUGUGGAGUGUGAAGAGUUAAAUGCCUUUAUGCCUGCAUAUUCGUGCACUUUGGGUGUACUUGCCCGUGUGGUUGGUUAACAUCAAUUUUGGUGGUCAUAAAAUGACUGGAGGAAUGUAGCUUCGAUCUCGUAUUGAAGUGUUAUAGCCUUCGGUAGAUGUGAUGAUCGAGAUUGAGGAUUGCAACGGAUACCUUUCGGGGCUACCUGUCUGGUCUCUGAUCGUUGCUCUGGUGCCGAAAGCUUGCUUACGGUUAUCAAAGUCGAUGGUCAAUAGGUUAGAACGGGUUAAA